rnacentral:rRNA from 1 species
UACGGAAGGUCCGGGCGUUAUCCGGAUUUAUUGGGUUUAAAGGGAGCGCAGGCCGCCUCUUAAGCGUGCUGUGAAAUCCCCCGGCUCAACCGGGGGUGUGCAGCGCGAACUGGGGGGCUUGAGUGCGCACAGGGCAGGCGGAAUUCGUGGUGUAGCGGUGAAAUGCUUAGAUAUCACGAGGAACUCCGAUCGCGAAGGCAGCCUGCCGGGGCGCUACUGACGCUGAGGCUCGAAGGUGCGGGUAUCGAACAGGAUUAGAUACCCUGGUAGUCCGCACGGUAAACGAUGGAUGCCCGCUGUGUGCCUAUUUUGGUGCGCGGCCAAGCGAAAGCGUUAAGCAUCCCACCUGGGGAGUACGCCGGCAACGGUGAA